CCUACGUGAGGCAGCAGUGGGGAAUAUUGCGCAAUGGGCGAAAGCCUGACGCAGCGACGCCGCGUGAGGGAUGAAGGUCUUCGGAUCGUAAACCUCUGUCAGCAGGGAAGAACGGUCACUGUGCUAAUCAGCAGUGAAUUGACGGUACCUGCAAAGGAAGCACCGGCUAACUCCGUGCCAGCAGCCGCGGUAAUACGGAGGGUGCGAGCGUUAAUCGGAAUUACUGGGCGUAAAGCGCUCGUAGGCGGUAUGUCAAGUCAAGGGUGAAAUCCCCGCGCUCAACGUGGGAACUGCCUUUGAAACUGGCAAACUGGAGUGUGUGAGAGGAUAGUGGAAUGCCAGGUGUAGGAGUGAAAUCCGUAGAUAUCUGGAGGAACAUCAGUGGCGAAGGCGACUAUCUGGCACAUAACUGACGCUGAGGAGCGAAAGCGUGGGUAGCAAACAGGAUUAGAUACCCUGGUAGUC
rnacentral:rRNA from 1 species